rnacentral:lncRNA from 1 species
CCUCAUCCAGUCAGCUGAGACCUGAAUUAAACAAAAUGCCUGAAUAAGAGGGAAUUUCCUCCUGCGUGACUGCCUUGAGGUGGAACAUCAGUGUUUUUGCUGCCAUCAGACUCAUACUGAAACGCUGGUCUUUCUGGAUCCCAAGCCUCUAGGCCUUUGGACUGGAACUGCACCAUCAGCAUUUCUGUGUCUCCAGCUUGUCAACUGCAGAUCUGGGGACUUGUCAGCCUUCAUGAUGACCACAACACUGACUUUGACUGAAAGACAAAGGAAGUCAUAGCACCUCAAAGCUUGGUGAAUAAUGAAACAAAUGAUGAUACAUCCACACCACAGAAUCCUACUCAGCAAGAAAAAUAAACUAUUACUGCCUGCACAAAUUGGAUAAACCUCAAGGGAGUUACUCUGAGUGGAAAAAGCCAAUAUCAAAAGGUUUCGGGAAUAAAGGAGCAAGGAAGUUGGCAGCAUCUACAAAAUGAUAGCACAAAGGAGCCCUGUGAUGGAAGUGACCUGUACUUUGAGUGCAGUGGUGAGUCUACACAUGCGAUGAUAUUACACAGAAUGAAGUACACACACCGCACACACGAAUGUAUGUAAAACUGGCAAAAUCUGAAUAAGGUCAGUGGAUUUUAUCUGUGUCAGUUUUUAAAUUGUGAUAUUUUACUACAGUUGUAUAAAAUAUGACCAUUGGGAGAAACUAGAUGAAGCUUUCAUGGGAGCUUACGUGGCUUUGCAUUUUUUCUUAUAACUGCAUGGGAAUCUAUAAUUACGUCAAAAUAAGAAGCUUAUAAAGCAAAUGAACAUUAAAUAUUUUAAAAACAGGAAUGCUGGCUUGUAUCAUAGUGUAAGUACUUUAUCAGAGAUACUCCUAAAUAUUUUACUUCAUGUAUUUAAUUAGAAUAGAUCUUUGCAUUAAGAAAGCAAGAUUCACUUUAAUGCUGCUUCUGAAAGUUGCUUCGUAGAGAGAGAGAAUGGAAUGAAACACAUGGUACAGUCCUGUUUCAUAAUAGAUUUCAAGGUACAUUCUUUAAAGGUUAUGUUAAAAGUUGAUUGUCUUAAAUCUUUAUUUUAUAAAGAGACUUUAAAAUUUAAGUGAUCAUGACUUUUGCAUAUUUUAUGUAUAUUACGGGAACAUUUAACUAAAAACUUAUGAAAGAAUAAGAGAUGUUCUAAAUCACCAAGGCAGUUUUACGUGCUUUAGAUUUUGCAUUAAUAGAGACACUUUAACCAAAGAGCAUUUCAUGUUUGUCUUUCCCUCACCUCCAGUUCUUCAAUUUAAUAUGUGGUUACCCUCUUUUCAAGAGUUACAGUACCAUUUUAAAUUCCCAUUAGCGUUGUAAAAUGAUCCAGUUUUUCCAUAUCCCGGUCAGCAUUUAGGGUUAUCACUGUCGUUUUAUUUUAGUCAUUUUGAUAGGUGUAUUAGUGACAUCUCAUUGUGGUUUUAAUUUUCAUUCCUUUAAUA